rnacentral:lncRNA from 1 species
UCAUAGGUUUAUAUAUAAUGCAUCAAAACAAUUUUUAGAAUCAAGAACAAAGUGAAGGUUAGUCUUGUACCUCUUGAUCUAGACUUAAGACCAAGGAUGGACCACCUCCAAGGCCUUUGCUCCUUGAAAUCCUUGAGCCUAGCUUCCCUCAUUGCCUCCUCCACUUUGUUACAAUGAGUGCUCCUAGGUUCUCUUCAAGUUCCCAAAGUAGGAAACCUCUAAAGAUCCUCACCCACUAGUGUAGUGAGAAGGAUGAAGGAAUAACCAAAAAGGUGUAAGAGAUGUUAGUAAAAACCCCCCUUUGGUGGCCGGCCUUUGUGGUUCAAGAUGGCUAUUUUCUUUUGCCUCUUUUGUUGUUCAAAACUCACAAAAACCCUAAUGAACAAUAUCUUAUAAAGUUGCUUAUAUAGACAAAAAGAAAACCUAGUCAACACUUGACUAAAUAUCUCUCCAAAACCCACAUAAUAUGGCCGGCCCUCUUGUGUUGUUUUUGGGCUUUGGGCUUUUAUUAUUUCAAGUCAUCCAAUGCUUGAAUGAAAGCCCAAUGGGUUUAGGCCCAAUGGGCCUAAUUAAACCCGAACGUUUCUUUAAGCCCAAAACGAUGUUUAUCGCUUUUAUGAUUUCUUUAGACUUUUCUAAAUUAAUCACAACACAUAAUUAAUCUAAUUAAUUGUUUCCAUCAUCCAUUAGUUACUCACUACAAUAGUGUUGUGGUGAACAAUCUUUUAGGUUCUAAUUA